CCUACGGGGUGCUGCAGUCGAGAAUCAUUCACAAUGGGGGAAACCCUGAUGGUGCGACGCCGCGUGGGGGAAUGAAGGUCUUCGGAUUGUAAACCCCUGUCAUGUGGGAGCAAAUUAAAAAGAUAGUACCACAAGAGGAAGAGACGGCUAACUCUGUGCCAGCAGCCGCGGUAAUACAGAGGUCUCAAGCGUUGUUCGGAAUCACUGGGCGUAAGGCGGGCGUAGGCUGUUUAGUAAGUCGUGUGUGAAAGGCGCGGGCUCAACCCGCGGACGGCACAUGAUACUGCGAGACUAGAGUAAUGGAGGGGGAACCGGAAUUCUCGGUGUAGCAGUGAAAUGCGUAGAUAUCGAGAGGAACACUCGUGGCGAAGGCGGGUUCCUGGACAUUAACUGACGCUGAGGCACGAAGGCCAGGGGAGCGAAAGGGAUUAGAUACCCGUGUAGUC
rnacentral:rRNA from 1 species